CUGGGCGUUAAGUUGCAGGGUAUAGACCCGAAACCCGGUGAUCUAGCCAUGGGCAGGUUGAAGGUUGGGUAACACUAACUGGAGGACCGAACCGACUAAUGUUGAAAAAUUAGCGGAUGACUUGUGGCUGGGGGUGAAAGGCCAAUCAAACCGGGAGAUAGCUGGUUCUCCCCGAAAGCUAUUUAGGUAGCGCCUCGUGAAUUCAUCUCCGGGGGUAGAGCACUGUUUCGGCAAGGGGGUCAUCCCGACUUACCAACCCGAUGCAAACUGCGAAUACCGGAGAAUGUUAUCACGGGAGACACACGGCGGGUGCUAACGUCCGUCGUGAAGAGGGAAACAACCCAGACCGCCAGCUAAGGUCCCAAAGUCAUGGUUAAGUGGGAAACGAUGUGGGAAGGCCCAGACAGCCAGGAUGUUGGCUUAGAAGCAGCCAUCAUUUAAAGAAAGCGUAAUAGCUCACUGGUCGAGUCGGCCUGCGCGGAAGAUGUAACGGGGCUAAACCAUGCACCGAAGCUGCGGCAGCGACGCUGAUGCGUUGUUGGGUAGGGGAGCGUUCUGUAAGCCUGUGAAGGUGUGCUGUGAGGCAUGCUGGAGGUAUCAGAAGUGCGAAUGCUGACAUAAGUAACGAUAAAGCGGGUGAAAAGCCCGCUCGCCGGAAGACCAAGGGUUCCUGUCCAACGUUAAUCGGGGCAGGGUGAGUCGACCCCUAAGGCGAGGCCGAAAGGCGUAGUCGAUGGGAAACAGGUUAAUAUUCCUGUACUUGGUGUUACUGCGAAGGGGGGACGGAGAAGGCUAUGUUGGCCGGGCGACGGUUGUCCCGGUUUAAGCGUGUAGGCUGGUUUUCCAGGCAAAUCCGGAAAAUCAAGGCUGAGGCGUGAUGACGAGGCACUACGGUGCUGAAGCAACAAAUGCCCUGCUUCCAGGAAAAGCCUCUAAGCAUCAGGUAACAUCAAAUCGUACCCCAAACCGACACAGGUGGUCAGGUAGAGAAUACCAAGGCGCUUGAGAGAACUCGGGUGAAGGAACUAGGCAAAAUGGUGCCGUAACUUCGGGAGAAGGCACGCUGAUAUGUAGGUGAAGCGACUUGCUCGUGGAGCUGAAAUCAGUCGAAGAUACCAGCUGGCUGCAACUGUUUAUUAAAAACACAGCACUGUGCAAACACGAAAGUGGACGUAUACGGUGUGACGCCUGCCCGGUGCCGGAAGGUUAAUUGAUGGGGUCAGCGCAAGCGAAGCUCUUGAUCGAAGCCCCGGUAAACGGCGGCCGUAACUAUAACGGUCCUAAGGUAGCGAAAUUCCUUGUCGGGUAAGUUCCGACCUGCACGAAUGGCGUAAUGAUGGCCAGGCUGUCUCCACCCGAGACUCAGUGAAAUUGAACUCGCUGUGAAGAUGCAGUGUACCCGCGGCAAGACGGAAAGACCCCGUGAACCUUUACUAUAGCUUGACACUGAACAUUGAGCCUUGAUGUGUAGGAUAGGUGGGAGGCUUUGAAGUGUGGACGCCAGUCUGCAUGGAGCCGGCCUUGAAAUACCACCCUUUAAUGUUUGAUGUUCUAACGUUGACCCGU
rnacentral:rRNA from 1 species